rnacentral:rRNA from 1 species
UGGGGAAUUUUGGACAAUGGGGGAAACCCUGAUCCAGCCAUCCCGCGUGUGCGAUGAAGGCCUUCGGGUUGUAAAGCACUUUUGGCAGGAAAGAAACGUCGCGGGUUAAUACCCCGCGAAACUGACGGUACCUGCAGAAUAAGCACCGGCUAACUACGUGCCAGCAGCCGCGGUAAUACGUAGGGUGCAAGCGUUAAUCGGAAUUACUGGGCGUAAAGCGUGCGCAGGCGGUUCGGAAAGAAAGAUGUGAAAUCCCCAGAGCUUAACUUUGGAACUGCAUUUUUAACUACCGGGCUAGAGUGUGUCGAGGGGGAGGUGGAAUUCCGCGUGUAGCAGUGAAAUGCGUAGAUAUGCGGAGGAACACCGAUGGCGAAGGCAGCCUCCUGGGAUAACACUGACGCUCAUGCACGAAAGCGUGGGGAGCAAACAGGAUUAGAUACCCUGGUAGUCCACGCCCUAAACGAUGUCAACUAGCUGUUGGGGGCCUUCGGGCCUUGGUAGCGCAGCUAACGCGUGAAGUUGACCGCCUGGGGAGUACGGUCGGCAAGAUUAAAACUCAAAUGAAUUGACGGGGUCAUAGCUGUUUUCCU